rnacentral:tRNA from 1 species
GGCCGGUUAGCUCAGUCAGUUGAGCGUGGUGCUGAUAACGCCAAGGUCGUGAGUUCGAUCCCUCUUCAGUCC